GCUGGGUGUGGUGGUCCAUACCUGUAGUCCCUGCUUCUGGGGAUGUUGAGGCUGGUGGAUUGCUUGAGUUUCAGUAGGCUAAGCCAAUACAGUGUCCACACUAUGUCUGGCAUCAGUAUGCUGAGCCCCUGAGAGCAGAGGGGCUAGCAGGCUCCCUAAGGAAAGGAAACUUGCUCAGGUCAGAAACAGAGCAAAUCAAAGUUUCUGUGCUGAUCAGGAGUGGGAUCAGCCCACGAGUGGCAGCUACACUUCCAGCCUAGGAGACUCAGUCUCAG
rnacentral:SRP_RNA from 1 species